UACGUAGGGUCCAAGCGUUGUCCGGAAUUAUUGGGCGUAAAGAGCUCGUAGGCGGUGUGUCGCGUCGGAUGUGAAAGCCCGGGGCUUAACUUCGGGUCUGCAUUCGGUACGGGCAUGCUGGAGUUCGGUAGGGGAGACUGGAAUUCCUGGUGUAGCGGUGAAAUGCGCAGAUAUCAGGAGGAACACCGGCGGCGAAGGCGGGUCUCUGGGCCGAUACUGACGCUGAGAAGCGAAAGCAUGGGGAGCGAACAGG
rnacentral:rRNA from 1 species